AAGCCCGAAAUAGUGCUCGGGUAGCCUUUCCUUAAAACCAGGGAGAGGACAUGCUGCCGAGCUGGCUGAUGGCUAGAUGAACAAUGCUUGUUGCUUUAGUUUCAGAAGCAAAGAAGAGUCAAGCAUUGAAGCCGCAAGAAUGUUGUCGAAUGGUCCCUGUGCACAGCCGAGGCUGAUGGAGUCACUUGUGCUGCUCGGCGUGGCUGCUAUCGCAGUGCUGCCGCAAUGUCAGGCUGCACCCAGCCCAUCAGGUUCUCUGACGUUGCUAUGCGCCGGCAUCAGUGAGCUUGAGGACUGCGUCCAAGAAGGAACCAGUGUCGAGUUCACGUGCGAAGCACGCUCCAGUUCACCGCUGGCCGUUCAGGUACCACAAUUUGCUCAUGCCGCUGUCCGCUCGCGGAGGGUAACCGGGGGCAAGGAUUUCUUCAUCACGAUUCCCAGCAUCGGGAUGGCGUAAAACGGCUUGAAGCACUGCGUCAGAGCCUCGGCCGGCAACCAGCAUCGGGAGUCUCGCUUCACCGUGAACGUGUGCGAGA